AUAAUGAAUUGGAGGGGAGCGGUGGGGCACGAUUCAGUCCACUGCACACCGUUCUCCUCUCCAGACCUCUCACUGGCAAGUCCUUUCAUCUCAAUUUCAGUUCUGUGAGGCCGUCCUACUAUUGUCUAUCACCCUGUUUGAUUUUUUUGUAGCCUCAUCAUUUAUUCAUUACAGUUUCUUAAGUUCUUUUUUUUAGGGAGCUUGUCAUUGCCUAGAAGAGUGCUGGGCACACAAUAGUGAUACUGAAUAUACAACUAAAAUCAUGUAAUAUAGCACAUGAGAUUCUUAAUGCUAAAAUUAAGACUUUUUAACAUGAAAAAUGCUCUUAAGGGCAGAAAUGAAGCAAAUUUCAGGCAAGAUGGCAGACAAGACUGAAACGGAUUCAUCCAUCAACUGCUACAGACUUAAAAAACAAAAUAUGCCCAAUGCAAAGCUGAGCUCAGGAAAUCCUCAGAUGCUAGAGAUAAAGACAAAAUCCAGUUGCAGAAGUGAGUUCCAGGUGAUGCCAGGAGACCCCAGGAAGUAUCAGAUUAGGUCACAAAACUAGGAAUAAGGUUUUAAUGUCUUCAGAAAAACAGAGCAUUUGGUGAGAGAAGGGAACUAAUCCGAGACUCCCGCAUACAACCAGGACACUUGAAGGGCUGCCUCACCUGUGAAAAAGAAACUGGAAAAAUCUCUUCAAAUCUGUCUGUGGAAACAGAAAGACAGCCUGGUGUUUGACAAAGCUCUCGGUGGGACAAACCUCCUCUGAGAAAUGGAAACCUAGGAAAUCAAAAGCCCAGAAAUUAAGGGAAAGCAUUAGUCUCAGAUAAUGAAAAGGAAACCCUUGGGGCCCGGGCCAAAGCAAAUGUAAAAACAUGAACACUUGCAUAAUCUCGUACAUGGGACUCACAGAAAAUGCAACCCCUAAUAUAGAUGAGCUCGCAAUGAAAAAUUAUCCACCACUGUGGCAAUGCAGUCACCAAAAGGAAGACUCAACAGACCAAUGAGCAUAGACACGAGCUGUGGAGGUAACAACUGGAAACAGAAGAAUAAAAUCUCAAGAUAAAUAAUUUAAAAAUACUUAACAUGGAAAAAUAUUUCACUUAAAAAAUAUAACUUUUAGAAAAAAUAUAGUAUCAUUAACUUAAAAAUUCAGUAGCUAGGUUGAACAAUAAAUUCACCACAAAUGAAAAGAGAA
ensembl:lncRNA PACRG-AS2 PACRG antisense RNA 2